CUCCCUACUCCCAGUAAAUGCCUUCAUUCUUGAAAAAGCCCUCCACUGCUCCAACCUACAGUGGGGGCUUGGUAGGAGGGAUAGGAAGAGCACA